rnacentral:rRNA from 1 species
ACUUGCCUACGGGAGGCAGCAGUGGGGGAUAUUGCACAAUGGGGGAAACCCUGAUGCAGCGACGCCGCGUGAGCGAUGAAGUAUUUCGGUAUGUAAAGCUCUAUCAGCAGGGAAGAAAAUGACGGUACCUGACUAAGAAGCCCCGGCUAACUACGUGCCUGCAGCCGCGGUAAUACGCAGGGGGCAAGCGUUAUCCGGAUUUACUGGGUGUAAAGGGAGCGUAGACGGCAGAGCAAGUCUGAAGUGAAAGGAAAGGGCUCAACCAUUGGACUGCUUUGGAAACUGUGCUGAUGGAGUGCCGGAGG